AAUCAACGCUGGCGGCGUGCCUCAGACAUGCAAGUCGAACGAUUAAAGCUCUCUUCGGAGAGUGUAUAGAGUGGCGCACGGGUGAGUAACACGUAAGUAAUCUACCUUUGAGUGGGGAAUAACAGUCGGAAACGACUGCUAAUACCGCAUAAUGCAGCGGCACCGCAAGGUGACAGUUGUUAAAGGAGCAAUUCGCUUAAAGAGGAGCUUGCGGCAGAUUAGCUUGUUGGUAAGGUAACGGCUUACCAAGGCUACGAUCUGUAUCCGGUCUUAGAGGACGGUCGGACACACUGACACUGAAUAACGGGUCAGACUCCUACGGGAGGCAGCAGCCGGGAAUUUUGGGCAAUGGGCGAAAGCCUGGCCCAGCAACGCCGCGUGAAGGAUGAAAUCCCUCGGGAUGUAAACUUCGCAAGAACGGGAAGAAUAAGUAGGGGACAAUACCCCCUAUGAUGACGGUA
rnacentral:rRNA from 1 species